CUGGAAAGAAUACAGGGACAUUGUCCGGGAAGCUUAUAAAUGGUGGAAGCGAGGACAGGCAGCCUGGGAAGAAUGCAGGGACAUUGUCCGGGAAGUUAGGGAUCAGGUCAGGAAAGCUA